UACGGAGGGUGCAAGCGUUAUCCGGAUUCACUGGGUUUAAAGGGUGUGUAGGUGGGUUGGUAAGUCAGUGGUGAAAUCUUCAAGCUUAACUUGGAAACUGUCGUUGAUACUAUCAAUCUUGAAUAUUGUGGAGGUAAGCGGAAUAUGUCAUGUAGUGGUGAAAUGCUUAGAUAUGACAUAGAACACUGAUAGCGAAGGCAGCUUGCUACACAGUAAUUGACGCUGAGGCACGAAAGCGUGGGGAUCAAACAGG
rnacentral:rRNA from 1 species